rnacentral:sRNA from 1 species
AUUUUUAGUAGAGACGGAGUUUCACUGGCCAGGCUAAUCUCGAACUCCUGACCUCAGGUGAUCUGCCCACCUUGACCUCCCAAAGUGGUGGGAGUACAGGUGUGAGCCAGCACGCCUGGCCCGUUGCUUUUCUUGUUGAUGUUACUAGCACUGUUAGGAGCUGGAGAGGUGUCCUGGGCAGAGUGCUGUGGGUACCUAGGGCGGGACAUGCCUGACUCCCCUCGGGAGCACUCAUGCUUUUUGUUAAUUAGAUAAUUUCUUUUUUUUUUUUGAGAUGGAGUCUAGCUCUGUCUCUAGGUGGAGUUCAGUGGUGCAAUCUCAGCUCACUGCAAUCUCCACCUCCCAGAUUCAAGCAAUUCUCCUGCCUCAGCCUCCCAAGUAGCUGGGACUAUAGGCAUGUGCCGCCACGCCCAGCUAAUUUUUGUAUUUUCAGUAGAAACGGGGUUUCACCUUGUUGGCCAGGAUGGUCUCUAUCUCCUGACCUUGUGAUCCGCCCACCUUGGCCUCCCAAAAUGCUGGGAUUACAGGCAUGAGCCACUGUGCCUGGCCUAAUUAGUUAAUUUCUUACUUGCUUCACAUACACACUGGUAAAAUCUGUUUCCCCUCCUGUAAACUGUAUUUAGCAUAGCCACAGUGACACUUGUUUAAAUGACUUAGUAGGGUGUUUUAGGAGCUUUUCUGUACAGAAGCUUUGAGGGCAUGGUCCUUAGGUUCUCACGGCUGCACUGGCUCAGGGUGUCCGCCCCUGCCAAGGUUGGGUCCCUCUCUUCCCAUGUGCUGCGAGGGUGCUGGCUGCCUGUGAGUUCUUUCCAAAGCUUCCCGGCGGAAGCCUUGGCUGCUGACUCUGCUCGGUCCACAGGAGGCUAACGAGCCGGCAGCAGAGCCUGAUCCUGAGCUACGCCGAGGACGAGACAGAUGUGGAGGGGACGGUGAACGGCGUCACCCUCACCAGCUCUGGUGGCAGCACCAUGGAUAGCUCCGCAGGAAGCAAGGCUAGGCGUGAGGCUGGGGAGGACGAGGAGGGAUUCCUUUCCAAACUUAAGAAAAUGUUUACCUCAUGAUAUCCCAGCCGAGGAAAAAGAUCCACUGGAAACUAGGCCGGGAAGCAGCAGCCCCUCCAAGGGCCAGGGCACCUGGGAGACGGGAGGAUUCCAGAACAGCAGCACUGAGCUCCCACCCGCAGAGCCUCUGGACGGCCUUGGCAACAGCAAAAUCAUGGGACAACACCUCUCUCCACGGAAAGGUCACAGUGGACAGCCCGGGCAGUAGGAUGCAGCCCCAGAGGCUGGUGGCAGUUUCCUGUCCAUUGGUAGGUGACGGCCCCUGGCUCAGGCAGAGGGAGAUGGUUAGACUCUUGCAGGGCUAAAACUCUAAUUUGGAAUUGAAUAUUGUGGAUAUCUUAGUUAAAGGCCAUGCUUACAGCUUAGAAAUGAAGCCUUAAGCUGCAUCAAGUUACGAAGUGAUUAAUUUCCUUCUCAGCAAACCUCUGGGAGGUUCCAGAAUGAGUUCUUCCUGACAGGUUGUCUUCACUGGGAGCGUGGGGCCCCCAGGCUCCACCAGCACCGUCCUCCCCUAAUGGGGGGCCCUGCCGAGGCAUCAGCUGCUCUGCUCAGUUAGUUUUUAUUCCCGGGGUACCAAGCAGCUGCACAGUCGGUGCCUGGGAGGCACGUAGAGGCCCAGAGAGUCCCUGAGGGUUCUGCUCUGACCGUGUGGGUGGUGAUCCUUGUCAGGAUGUACAGUCCUUGCUCCCACCCCAUCCAGGAUGGCCGCCUGUCCCUGACUGUUGAGUCCUGUUGUUGUAAGCCAGGCAUGGAGGGCUCCUGCCCUUCUGCUGAGCCACAGCCCACUGCAGCACUGUGCUGGCCAGACUUCAGCUGCCUUGGGAACUGAAGCCCUGCCACUGUUGCUAGUCAGGGGCUUGGUUCUCCCACUUACACUGUUGACAUCUAUUUUCUGAAGUGUGUUUAAAUUAUUCAGUGCUAAUCAUUGUUUUUUCCUUUGUAAAUGUUGAUUCAGAAAAGGAAAGCACAGGCUAAGCAGUUGAAGGUUCCCCACCAUUCAGUGAGAGCAGAACCCCCAUUCCCCAGCCUCUGCUGGUAGCAUGUCGCAGUUUCCAUGUGUUUCAGGAUCCUCGGGCUGUCGUUAGACAGGUUAAUGAAGAACACUUCUCAACAGUUUCCUUUUUGUUUUCCUUUAUAAUUCACUAAAAUAAAGCAUCUAUUAGUGUCUGAUUUAGGAAUGUAAAAUGAUUCUGUAUUAAUGUAAAUAAGAUUAUCUAUUGCAAAAAGAUAUUUCAAACCU